ACGGGAGGCAGCAGUGGGGGAUAUUGCGCAAUGGGGGCAACCCUGACGCAGCAACGCCGCGUGAAGGAUGAAGGUUUUCGGAUUGUAAACUUCUUUUAUUAAGGACGAAAAUUGACGGUACUUAAUGAAUAAGCUCCGGCUAACUACGUGCCAGCAGCCGCGGUAAUACGUAGGGAGCAAGCGUUGUCCGGAUUUACUGGGUGUAAGGGGUGCGUAGGCGGCUUUGCAAGUCAGAUGUGAAAUCUAUGGGCUCAACCCAUAAACUGCAUUUGAAACUGUAGAGCUUGAGUGAAGUAGAGGCAGGCGGAAUUCCCCGUGUAGCGGUGAAAUGCGUAGAGAUGGGGAGGAACACCAGUGGCGAAGGCGGCCUGCUGGGCUUUAACUGACGCUGAGGCACGAAAGCGUGGGUAGCAAACAGGAUUAGAUACCCUGGUAGUCCACGCUGUAAACGAUGAUUACUAGGUGUGGGGGGUCUGACCCCUUCCGUGCC
rnacentral:rRNA from 1 species